ACGAACGCUGGCGGCGUGCCUAACACAUGCAAGUCGAGCGGAGACAGUGAGUAGCUUGCUAUGAACUGUUUUAGCGGCGGACGGGUGAGUAACGCGUGAGCAACCUUUCCCAGACAGGGGAAUAACACACCGAAAGGUGUACUAAUACCGCAUAAGACCACGGGAUCACAUGGUUCUGGGGUAAAAGAUUUAUCGGUUUGGGGUGGGCUCGCGUCCGAUUAGGUAGUUGGUGAGGUAACGGCCCACCAAGCCGACGAUCGGUAGCCGACCUGAGAGGGUGAUCGGCCACAUUGGGACUGAGACACGGCCCAAACUCCUACGGGAGGCAGCAGUGGGGAAUAUUGGGCAAUGGGGGGAACCCUGACCCAGCAACGCCGCGUGGAGGAAGAAGGUUUUCGGAUCGUAAACUCCUGUCCUUGGAGACGAGUAGAAGACGGUAUCCAAGGAGGAAGCCCCGGCUAACUACGUGCCAGCAGCCGCGGUAAUACGUAGGGGGCAAGCGUUGUCCGGAAUAAUUGGGCGUAAAGGGCGCGUAGGCGGCUCGGUAAGUCUGGAGUGAAAGUCCUGCUUUUAAGGUGGGAAUUGCUUUGGAUACUGUCGAGCUUGAGUGCAGGAGAGGUUAGUGGAAUUCCCAGUGUAGCGGUGAAAUGCGUAGAGAUUGGGAGGAACACCAGUGGCGAAGGCGACUAACUGGACUGUAACUGACGCUGAGGCGCGAAAGUGUGGGGAGCAAACAGGAUUAGAUACCCUGGUAGUCCACACUGUAAACGAUGAAUGCUAGGUGUUGGGGGUUUCGACCCAUUAUGUGCCCUACUAAACCCAAUAAUCAUUCCUCCUGGGGAGUACGGCCGCAAGGUUGAAACUCAAAGGAAUUGACGGGGGCCCGCACAAGCAGCGGAGCAUGUGGUUUAAUUCGAAGCAACGCGAAGAACCUUACCAAAUCUUGACAUCCCUCUGACCGGUCUUUAAUCGGACCUUUCCUUCGGGACAGGGGAGACAGGUGGUGCAUGGUUGUCGUCAGCUCGUGUCGUGAGAUGUUGGGUUAAGUCCCGCAACGAGCGCAACCCUUAUCUUCAGUUACUAACGCGUGAGGGUGAGGACUCUGAAGAGACUGCCGGGGACAACUCGGAGGAAGGUGGGGACGACGUCAAAUCAUCAUGCCCCUUAUGACCUGGGCUACACACGUGCUACAAUGGCCACGACAGAGAGAAGCGAAAUCGCAAGGUAGAGCGGAACUCAAAAAAGUGGUCCCAGUUCGGAUUGUGGGCUGCAACCCGCCCACAUGAAGUCGGAGUUGCUAGUAAUCGCGGAUCAGCAUGCCGCGGUGAAUACGUUCCCGGGCCUUGUACACACCGCCCGUCACACCAUGGGAGUUGGGAGUGCCCAAAGCCGGUGAGGCAACCGCAAGGAGCCAGCCGUCUAAGGCAAGACCAAUGACUGGGGUG
rnacentral:rRNA from 1 species